CGUUGUUGUUUAUUGAUUGUUAAACAUGGCGUCAUUUGCAAAGGUGGUUGUGUUGUGUCCUCAUUGCUUGUGUCUGUAAUGCAUUCGGUUUUCCGAAGAGAGAUGUGAACUUUAAGGCCUCUGCAGUUGACCGCCAAAGUGAUGAUGUGGUUGUCGCCACAACACCCAAUCCCCACAACCAGACCACAUCUGCCCCUACUGAAGCUGGUGGAGCAAGUGAAGAUGCUGUGGCUACUACCCCAGCACCUAAUCCACACAACCAGACAACUUCUGCACAAACUGAAGUUACUGAUGAAGCCAAUGAAGAUGCUGUGGACCACCAAAGUGAUGAUGUGGUUUCCACCACAACACCCAAUCCCCACAACCAGACCACAUCUGCCCCUACUGAAGCUGGUGGAGCAAGUGAAGAUGCUGUGGCUACCACCCCAACACCAAAUCCCCCAACUACAUCUGACCACACUGCAGCUACCGAUGAUGCCAAGUGAGGGUGCUGUGGCUGCCCAAACUGGAACUACUGGUAAGGGAGUUAUGAUUAUACAAGGAACCACUUGGAUGGUCUAAACCGUUUGCUCUUGAAAAUGUAUU
rnacentral:lncRNA from 1 species